rnacentral:rRNA from 1 species
GGGCCCGCACAAGCGGUGGAGUAUGUGGUUUAAUUCGAUGCAACGCGAAGAACCUUACCUGGGCUCUAAUGCGAGUGACCGCUCCUGAAAGGGAGCUUUCCUUCGGGACACGAAGCAAGGUGCUGCAUGGUUGUCGUCAGCUCGUGCCGUGAGGUGUUGGGUUAAGUCCCGCAACGAGCGCAACCCCUAUCUUUAGUUGCCAGCGAUUCGGUCGGGGACUCUAGAGAGACUGCCUGCGCAAGCAGAGAGGAAGGCGGGGACGACGUCAAAUCAUCAUGGCCUUUAUGCCCAGGGCUACACACGUGCUACAAUGGUAAGGACAAAGGGCAGCGAGCCGGCGACGGUCAGCGAAUCCCAAAAACCUUAUCUCAGUUCGGAUUGGAGUCUGCAACUCGACUCCAUGAAGCUGGAAUC